GUUAGGAACUCAAGCAGGAUAGGAAC
rnacentral:piRNA from 1 species